rnacentral:rRNA from 1 species
CCUACGGGAGGCUGCAGUGAGGAAUAUUGGUCAAUGGACGAGAGUCUGAACCAGCCAAGUAGCGUGAAUGAUGACUGCCCUAUGGGUUGUAAACUUCUUUUAUAUGGGAAUAAAAUGUUCCACGUGUGGGAUUUUGUAUGUACCAUAUGUAUAAGGAUCGGCUAACUCCGUUCCAGCAGCCGCGGUAAUACAGAGGAUCCGAGCGUUACCCGGAUUUAUUGGGUUUAAAGGGAGCGUAGGUGGAUUGUUAAGUCAGUUGUGAAAGUUUGCGGCUCAACCGUAAAAGUGCAGUUGAAACUGGGAGUCUUGAGUACAGUAGAGGUGAGCGGAAUUCGAGGUGUAGCGGUGAAAUGCUUAGAUAUCUCGAGGAACUCCGGUUGCGAAGGCAACUCUCUGGACUGCAACUGACACUGAGGCUCGAAAGUGUGGGUAUCAAACAGGAUUAGAUACCCUUGUAGUC